rnacentral:rRNA from 1 species
GAUGAACGCUGGCGGCGUGCCUAAUACAUGCAAGUCGAGCGAACAGAUAAGGAGCUUGCUCCUUUGACGUUAGCGGCGGACGGGUGAGUAACACGUGGGUAACCUACCUAUAAGACUGGAAUAACUCCGGGAAACCGGGGCUAAUGCCGGAUAACAUUUAGAACCGCAUGGUUCUAAAGUGAAAGAUGGUUUUGCUAUCACUUAUAGAUGGACCCGCGCCGUAUUAGCUAGUUGGUAAGGUAACGGCUUACCAAGGCAACGAUACGUAGCCGACCUGAGAGUGUGAUCGGCCACACUGGAACUGAGACACGGUCCAGACUCCUACGGGAGGCAGCAGUAGGGAAUCUUCCGCAAUGGGCGAAAGCCUGACGGAGCAACGCCGCGUGAGUGAUGAAGGUCUUCGGAUCGUAAAACUCUGUUAUUAGGGAAGAACAAAUGUGUAAGUAACUGUGCACGUCUUGACGGUACCUAAUCAGAAAGCCACGGCUAACUACGUG